CCUACGGGGCGCUGCAGUGGGGAAUAUUGGACAAUGGGCGAAAGCCUGAUCCAGCCAUGCCGCGUGUGUGAAGAAGGCCUUCGGGUUGUAAAGCACUUUCAGUGGGGAAGAAAGCCUUGGGGCUAAUACCCUCGAGGAAGGACAUCACCCACAGAAGAAGCACCGGCUAACUCCGUGCCAGCAGCCGCGGUAAUACGGAGGGUGCGAGCGUUAAUCGGAAUUACUGGGCGUAAAGCGCGCGUAGGCGGUCUGAUAAGCCGGUUGUGAAAGCCCCGGGCUCAACCUGGGAACGGCAUCCGGAACUGUCAGGCUAGAGUGCAGGAGAGGUAGGUAGAAUUCCCGGUGUAGCGGUGAAAUGCGUAGAGAUCGGGAGGAAUACCAGUGGCGAAGGCGGCCUUCUGGACUGACACUGACGCUGAGGUGCGAAAGCGUGGGUAGCAAACAGGAUUAGAUACCCCGGUAGUC
rnacentral:rRNA from 1 species